GAUGAACGCUGGCGGCGUGCCUAACACAUGCAAGUCGAACGGCAGCACAGUAAGAGCUUGCUCUUACGGGUGGCGAGUGGCGGACGGGUGAGGAAUACAUCGGAAUCUACUUUUUCGUGGGGGAUAACGUAGGGAAACUUACGCUAAUACCGCAUACGACCUACGGGUGAAAGCAGGGGAUCUUCGGACCUUGCGCGAUUGAAUGAGCCGAUGUCGGAUUAGCUAGUUGGCGGGGUAAAGGCCCACCAAGGCGACGAUCCGUAGCUGGUCUGAGAGGAUGAUCAGCCACACUGGAACUGAGACACGGUCCAGACUCCUACGGGAGGCAGCAGUGGGGAAUAUUGGACAAUGGGCGCAAGCCUGAUCCAGCCAUACCGCGUGGGUGAAGAAGGCCUUCGGGUUGUAAAGCCCUUUUGUUGGGAAAGAAAAGCAGCAGGUUAAUACCCCGCUGUUCUGACGGUACCCAAAGAAUAAGCACCGGCUAACUUCGUG
rnacentral:rRNA from 1 species